AACGAGAAUGUAGGCUUCGGUCUACUAGUAAAGUGGCAGACGGGUGCGUAACACGUGGGUAAUCUACCUUCCGGCGGGGGACAACAGUCCGAAAGGAUUGCUAAUACCGCAUACGUCAGCGGUGCCUACGGGCACUGUUGGGAAAGAUGGCCUCUCCUUGGAAGCUAUCACCGGAAGAUGAGCCCGCGCCCCAUCAGCUAGUUGGUGAGGUAACGGCUCACCAAGGCUUAGACGGGUAGCUGGUCUGAGAGGAUGAUCAGCCACACUGGGACUGCGACACGGCCCAGACUCCUACGGGAGGCAGCAGUGGGGAAUAUUGGGCAAUGGGCGCAAGCCUGACCCAGCCACGCCGCGUGAGUGAUGAAGGCCUUCGGGUCGUAAAGCUCUGUGGGGAGGGACGAACAAAUCUGGGGCUAAUCACCCGGAUCCUGACGGUACCUCCUUAGCAAGCACCGGCUAACCCUGUGCCAGCAGCCGCGGUAAUACAGGGGGUGCAAACGUUGCUCGGAAUCAUUGGGCGUAAAGCGCACGUAGGCGGUCUGUUAUGUCGGAUGUGAAAGCCCUUGGCUCAACUGAGGAAGUGCAUCCGAAACUGGCAGGCUAGAGUACUAAAGAGGGUCGCGGAAUUCCCGGUGUAGAGGUGAAAUUCGUAGAUAUCGGGAGGAACACCGGUUGGCGAAGGCGGCGACCUGGGUAGAUACUGACGCUGAGGUGCGAAAGCGUGGGGAGCAACAGGAUUAGAUACCCUGGUAGUCCACGCCGUAAACGAUGAGUGCUAGAUGUUUCUGGUAUUGACCCCGGAGGCGUCUUAACUAACGCGU
rnacentral:rRNA from 1 species